UACAGAGGGUGCAAGCGUUGUUCGGAAUUAUUGGGCGUAAAGGGCGCGUAGGCGGUGCGGUAAGUCUGUAGUGAAAUCUCUGGGCUCAACUCAGAGUCUGCUGCAGAAACUGCCGUGCUUGAGUGUGGGAGAGGCAAGUGGAAUGGUCGGUGUAGCGGUGAAAUGCGUAGAUAUCGAUCGGAACACCCGUGGCGAAGGCGGCUUGCUGGCUCGCAACUGACGCUGAGGCGCGAAAGCGUGGGGAGCAAACAGG
rnacentral:rRNA from 1 species